UAAUAUUGAUUUUUUUAAUGAAUUAUGUUACUAUUCUGCAUCGUCUCUCCAUUUGAAUCUUGAGAUUGAUUUAAGUGUAUUAAAAUGUGUUUACAUUGGGACCUCAGAUAGAGUAUACUGGAGGGAGCUACUGAUUCAGAAGAUGCUCAUCACAAAGACUUCCUUUACGCUUGUUAGACAAUAGACACCAAUUUUCUUUUCUUUCAGUUUAAUUUUCUUAUUUGUUUGGUUGUCGGAUCAGAUUAAAAGAUACCACGAACUCUCCUAAAAAAACCGGAGUAUACUUUUCAACUGCAAUAGCAGGAGCAGAUUGAUGAUUGUGAAGCAUGAACCCGAGUAUUGGAAAUAUGUAGAGGAAGGAUAAACCUGAGAGAGACACUACUUUGCCAACCGAGAUAUGCCAGAAACUUGAAGACCAUUUGAGCUAGUGAGAUCAAUUAGAGGACCAGAUUCAUCCAAUCAUUGAUAAGUGCCAGUACCAACCUGAUAAACGAGAUACAGCAACAUCUAUGUCAGCCCACAAAGCACGAUGAGUACUUGAUCAGCCUCUUCCACAUCCAGUUUCACGAACCCGGAAAAUCUGCAUCCCAAAACAAAAUAUCGGUGCAUUCAUGCAUACAUCCAUACAUGCAUUCAUGCAUACAUCCAUACAUGCAUUCAUGCAUACAUCCAUACAUGCAUUCAUGCAUACAUCCAUACAUCCAUACAUGCAUUCAUGCAUACAUCCAUACAUGCAUACAUUUUAUACAUUCAUACAUGCAUACACAUGCAUAUAUAUUUGCUUUCUUGAUUUAUUGAUUAGGUCAUUGCUUGCUACUUUAGUACAUUUGUUAAUAACUUGUUCUUGUUUGUUUCUUGUGCUUAUCUCAGUUUGUAACGUGCUUGCUUGUUUCUUGCACUGAUUGCUUACAUGUUUAACUUGUUCACUUUAUUCCUUCUUUGUUUCAUUGAUUAUUUGAUCGUUGCUUGACUUGUUUGUUUGUUUCCUUCUUGGUUCCUUGAUUUACUUUACUUCAUUGGGCAGCCUUCUUCUUGGAUACUCGCUUACUUAGUUGUUUCAAUCAAUUUCUUUACACACUCGUUUGCUUGUUUCCUGAUCCUCUGGUUUUUCUUUUUCUUUUUUACUUUCGUCGUCACUAUUUCUUACAUGAACUUCUCUACUUGUUUCGUUGUUUGCUUACGAUUUUCAUUUGGUUACUCGCUUUCUUUUGCUUUCUUUACUCCUUCCAUAGUUCCAUUGCUUGCUUAGACGUAAUUGUUUAAGAAAAAAUCUCCACAACAUCCUCUUUGUUCUUGCAAACUCCAUUACUUAAUUCCGUUUAUGCGUAUCUUUUAAAAUAUCUACAACUCUUUAGCGAAAUUUUAUAAUCCACACUAUACAAUUUAAUUCGUUUUAUAUAUGACAUGUUUAGCAAAAAAAAAUACCAAUUGCUUUAAUUUGUUUUUUAUCCCCU
rnacentral:sRNA from 1 species